rnacentral:lncRNA from 1 species
AGUGGAGUACAAAGAUGCAUGGGUGGAAAAGGUAGAUGUUGGCAAACUUUCUUCUCAUGGUUUUCAAAUACUUGCUCUUGAACCUCAAAUAACUGAAAAGGGUAACAAUGAGGUUAGAAGAAUAUUGGCGAUUUAUAUACAAUGCCAGUUUCUUAUUAUGUAACUUAAAAUUUUCAGGCUUGCUGUAUAUGCAUUGUGACAAGUUAUUGCGAAGGAGGAGACAUGUAAGUCAGAUAAUGUACUUAAAUUAAACCGUCUUUCAAAACAAAACUGGUAAUAGACGUCUACAAUUCUCUUAGAUUUGUAAAAGAAAAUUAUGAUGAAACUACAUUGUACAAGUUCCAUCCUAUAAAAUCGUCCAUAAUCUUCCCUGUCUACUGAUCUAUAAUGAAACUUUCAGGUCAAGUUCGGAUCCUGAUUCCAAGCAGUUCAAACGGGUAGUCCAUUUGUACAGUCUAAAGAAACAAGUUGUAAUUUUACGAUACUUGUAUAACAAAGGUCAUAUGAAAUGCAAGUCUUUGCUAAACCAAUACAACUUGUUUCUUUAGACUGCCAUAUGAACUACCCAUCUUGGACUGCUAGGAAUCAUGAUCCGUUAAGUUCCAUCCGAUUCUAAAAUCCAUAAACUUUCUUUACUAUUGUGAUCUUUCAGGGCUGAUAUAAUAAAUAGAGCUAGAGGAACAUAUUUCCCUGAGGAGGUAAGUUGCGGCAAAGAUCAGCAAGAACAUUAUGGCCUAUUUCAAAGAAAAAUACUGAUUCUAAGAUGCAACUAAACCCCAUUCUGAACUACUUUCUCUUGCAGAAACUCUGCAAAUGGAUGACUCAACUGUUGCUAGCUGUAGACUAUCUUCAUUCCAACCGAGUCCUCCAUAGGGAUCUAAAGGUAUAUCUGUGAAUAUACCUCAACUGACUUCCUCUGACAAAAAAACAUAAUUUAGAUUUUAAAUUGUUCUCUGUUUCAUGACUUCAGUGUUCCAACAUAUUCCUCACGAAAGACGACGAUAUCAGACUUGGUAAGUAUGAAAAUAGAAUACAUGUGAUUUAAAAUUUUAUGGUCUUUUCAGUGAUUUUUAUCUCACAAGUCACAACAACUAAACAGGUGAUUUUGGACUUGCAAAACUGCUCAACAAAGAUGGCCUUGCUUCUUCGGUAAUAGUUCAUUCACAUCUCUUUUCCUCUUAGCUAUGUAAUAUUUCUUACACAUAAAAUGGCCACUAUUCAUGAUAAUGGUCCUAAUUUAUGUCCAAACUUGUUUGAAGUUGAUCAUAAGUUACUCAUAUGCCGUCGAUUUUAUUUAUUUUAAAAAUAUCAAGAAAAAAUAUACAAAGCAGAACAACCCCUCAAGUAAAAAACCAAAAAUAUAGAGAAACUAUUACUAAGCAGCAUAACAUAAGCCAAGUCUAAGCAAGUCUUUUGUUUUAAUCAUAGUUGCACCACAUCUUAUAAAGGUCCUUACAAGCUAAUUUUGUUCUAAGAAUCUAUUCAAUGAACUCCUCGGAUUCUCAAAGAACAUCCCGGAGGCUAAUGGAGAAGACAAACAAGAAUCCUGACUUUAAAUUACACAAAAUACAGUAUUGAACCUCAAAAUUUAUGUAACAUUGGUAGGAAGCUAGAAAUGACAGGUAUGAUAAAUUUCAAGAACAAGUCAAACGCGAUCCAAUAUGACAAGCUCUUUGUCACUAAUCCAGAUGGAUCGGAGCUUACUCAUGUUCCUUAGAUGGAUCGGAGCUUACUCAUGGCUUGUACUGAAAUUUGGGGCUCUACUGUUGCAGAUUGCAGACAUUAUAAGCUCAUUCUCUUAGUUCAUUUUCGAUUUUCCUGAUAAAGAGGUUAGCUAAUAUUAACUUGUUAAUGGUGCUGCUAAAUGUAACUAGGUUGUAGGUACUCCAAACUACAUGUGUCCAGAACUUUUAGCAGAUAUACCCUAUGGCUACAAAUCAGACAUCUGGUCCCUAGGUAUACAGCUCCAUGGCACAGUCUUCUUGUUUCCUAUACAUAAAUAUUGUACUUGGUGUCAUAACUUCACUAUAAAUGACAUUUUUCUACUCUCCCAGGUUGCUCUUUGUUUGAAAUAGCUGCACAUCACCCUGCAUAUAGGGCUCCGGUAAGCCUCAGCUUAAGCUACUACCUCCGUCCUGCAAAGGAUGUCUUAUGUUCCCUUUUAAGGGUUGUUGUAAACAAAUUUAUACAUUAUAUAUUUCAGUUUAUCUACCAUAUAGUUGUAAAUAUACUGUAUAAAUAUGUUUUUGGCAUGUCUUAAACCGAGCCUAACACACCCAAAAAUGAACAUAUCCUUUGCCCGACAGAGACUGAGCUACAACUUUGUCAUGCAUUGAUAUUAUUUGUAUCCAUAUCUUUAGAACUUUAUUAAACAGGAUAUGGCUGGACUCAUAAGCAAAAUCAACCGGUCCUCUAUCUCUCCACUCCCUACAGUGUAUUCCUCUACAUUGUAAGUAACAGCACCCUUUCCAUGGUAUUUAUACUAACUUCCUAGAUUAUACAGUAGCAAGAAAAAAAAGUAACAAUAGACGGAAUUUCUUUUCAUACCACAGGAAACGAUUGAUUAAAAGCAUGCUAAGGAAAAACCCAGAACACAGACCAACUGUUAGUCCUUCAACUCCAAAUCUCAAAAUUACUCGAAGUUUUUUUUUUUUUUUAAAGAAAAAGAAAAAAACCAUAAAAACCUUACUCUGAUGCCUGCUUAUGUAAUUUCACAUCUUAGGCCGCGGAGCUGUUGAGGCAUCCUCAUUUACAACCACAUGUUGCUGAAUUCAGCAACUCAUCAGCAAUCUUUCUUCCGGUAAAGCCUGAAAAGGACUUAAAGGAUAACUUAACAUUAGCCCGGCUGCCCAACAAGCCUAUGCUCAGUAAAAACCCCAGACUUGGAAAAAUACAAGUGUUGAAGCAGUCAGAAGAGGUUCUCACAGUUGAUAGAAAUGAUGUGCUGACAAGAAAUUCAACAAAACAAGAAAUGCAAAUUUCGCUUGAUUCCCAUCAAGUAAAAGUCGAAACUAAAC